GAUGAACGCUGGCGGCGUGCCUCAAACAUGCAAGUCGAGCGGGGCUAUGUAAUAUCGCAAGGUAGAACAUAGCCUAGCGGCGAACGGGUGAGUAACACGUGGGUAACCUGCCUGGAAGACAGGGAUAACGAUUCGAAAGGGUCGCUAAUACCUGAUAAUAUCCUUUCAUCGCAUGGUGAUAGGAAGAAAGGGGAAACCCGCUUUCAGAUGGGCCCGCGUCCCAUCAGCUAGUUGGUAAGGUAAAGGCUUACCAAGGCGACGACGGGUAGCCGGUCUGAGAGGAUGUACGGCCACACUGGGACUGAGAUACGGCCCAGACUCCUACGGGAGGCAGCAGUUGGGAAUCUUAGGCAAUGGACGAAAGUCUGACCUAGCGACGCCGCGUGAGGGAAGAAGGCCUUCGGGUUGUAAACCUCUGUCAUGGGGAAGAAGAAGUGACGGUACCCAACGAGGAAGCCCUGCUAACUACGUGCCAGCAGCCGCGGUAAGAGUAGUAGACUCGAGCGGC
rnacentral:rRNA from 1 species